rnacentral:rRNA from 1 species
UGGGGAAUAUUGCACAAUGGGCGAAAGCCUGAUGCAGCAACGCCGCGUGAGUGAUGAAGGCCUUCGGGUUGUAAAGCUCUGUCUUUUGGGACGAUAAUGACGGUACCAAAGGAGGAAGCCACGGCUAACUACGUGCCAGCAGCCGCGGUAAUACGUAGGUGGCAAGCGUUGUCCGGAUUUACUGGGCGUAAAGGAUGCGUAGGCGGAUUUUUAAGUGAGAUGUGAAAACCCUAAGCUUAACUUGGGGACUGCAUUUCAUACUGGAAAUCUAGAGUGCGGGAGAGGAGAAUGGAAUUCCUAGUGUAGCGGUGAAAUGCGUAGAGAUUAGGAAGAACACCAGUGGCGAAGGCGAUUCUCUGGACCGUAACUGACGCUGAGGCAUGAAAGCGUGGGUAGCAAACAGGAUUAGAUACCCUGGUAGUCCACGCCGUAAACGAUGAGUACUAGGUGUAGGAGGUAUCGACCCCUUCUGUGCCGCAGUUAACACAAUAAGUACUCCGCCUGGGAAGUACGAUCGCAAGAUUAAAACUCAAAUGAAUUGACGGGGUCAUA